UGGGGAAUAUUGCACAAUGGGCGCAAGCCUGAUGCAGCCAUGCCGCGUGUGUGAAGAAGGCCUUCGGGUUGUAAAGCACUUUCAGCGAGGAGGAAGGUGGUGAACUUAAUACGUUCAUCAAUUGACGUUACUCGCAGAAGAAGCACCGGCUAACUCCGUGCCAGCAGCCGCGGUAAUACGGAGGGUGCAAGCGUUAAUCGGAAUUACUGGGCGUAAAGCGCACGCAGGCGGUUUGUUAAGUCAGAUGUGAAAUCCCCGGGCUCAACCUGGGAACUGCAUUUGAAACUGGCAAGCUAGAGUCUCGUAGAGGGGGGUAGAAUUCCAGGUGUAGCGGUGAAAUGCGUAGAGAUCUGGAGGAAUACCGGUGGCGAAGGCGGCCCCCUGGACGAAGACUGACGCUCAGGUGCGAAAAGCGUGGGGAGCAAAACAGGAUUAGAUACCCUGGUAGUCCACGCUGUAAAACGAUGUCGAUUUUGGAGGUUGUGCCCUUGAGGCGUGGCUUCCGGAGCUAACGCGUUAAAUCGACCGCCUGGGGAGUACGGCCGCAAGGUUAAAAACUC
rnacentral:rRNA from 1 species